rnacentral:rRNA from 1 species
UACGUAGGGUGCGAGCGUUGUCCGGAAUUACUGGGCGUAAAGAGCUCGUAGGUGGUUUGUCGCGUUGUUCGUGAAAACUCACAACUCAAUUGUGGGCGUGCGGGCGAUACGGGCAGACUGGAGUACUGCAGGGGAGACUGGAAUUCCCGGUGUAGUGGUGAAAUGCGUAGAUAUCGGGAGGAACACCAGAGGCGAAGGCGGCUUUCUGGCCUGUAACUGACGCUGAGGCGCGAAGGCUGGGGUAGCGAACAGG